CGCCUCUUGAAAAACAUAAGAGGUCCAGCCUGCCCAGUGACUCUGUUCAACGGCCGCGGUAUCCUAACCGUGCGAAGGUAGCGUAAUCACUUGUCCUUUAAAUGGGGACUAGUAUGAACGGCACCACGAGGGUUAUGCUGUCUCCUCUUUCCAAUCAGUGAAACUAAUCUUCCCGUGAAGAAGCGGGAAUACAACUAUAAGACGAGAAGACCCUAUGGAGCUUUAAACGAAGCAACACUUGCUAUCACGUACACAAAUCCCAGGAGAUUAACCCUUAUUUUAGCACUAUGAUUGCCAGUUUUAGGUUGGGGUGACCGCGGAGUAAAAAAUAACCUCCACAGUGAAUGGGGGCCUUCCCCUAAGCAAAAAGCCACAACUUUAUGCAUCAACAAAUUGACAUCAAUUGACCCAAUAUUUUGAUCAACGAAACAAGUUACCCUAGGGAUAACAGCGCAAUCUACUUCGAGAGCCCGUAUCGACAAGUGGGUUUACGACCUCGAUGUUGGAUCAGGGUACCCCAGUGGUGCAGCCGCUACUAAAGGUUCGUUUGUUCAACGAUUAAAACCCU
rnacentral:rRNA from 1 species